GUGGGUCUUCCGCCAUUGAAGAGCAGAAGCCGGUGCCGGAGAAUCUGAGAGACAGAGGGAAUUUCAACCCAACCAAGUACUUUGUGGAGGAGGUGGUGACAGGGGUCGAUGAGUCUGACCUGUACCGGACAUGGAUCAAAGUGGUUGCUACCCGCAACACACGUGAGCGCGGCUCCAGGCUUGAGAACAUGUGCUGGCGCAUUUGGCAUCUUACCCGUAAGAAGAAACAGUUGGAGAUCGAGGAACAUCAGCGGUUGGCAAACCGCA